rnacentral:rRNA from 1 species
UACGUAGGGGACAAGCGUUGUCCGGAAUUACUGGGCGUAAAGUGCGUGUAGGCGGCUGUAUAAGUCAGAUGUGAAAUUGCUCGGCUCAACCAAGCAACUGUGUCUGAUACUGUAUGGCUUGAGUACGAAAGAGGAAAGUGGAAUGUACGGUGUAGCGGUGAAAUGCUUAGAUAUCGUAUAGAACACCUGUGGCGAAGGCGGCUUUCUGGUUCGAUACUGACGCUGAGACGCGAAAGUCUGGGGAGCAAACGGG